CGCUGUCAAGGUGAAGCUCGCUUGUUGACAAUAAUCGGCUUACUUUAUUCAGCCAGAGCUUCACUUUUUUUUUGUUUCUUCUUCUGACUUUUUCCAUUUGUUUGGCAUCGGUCAGAAGCAGCUUCAUCCGAGCGAAUAUACUGAAAUGCGUGCUCUAAAAGUUCAGCGUAAUUUCGGGAGAGACUUUUAUCUAGAGAAUAUGUAAAUC
rnacentral:lncRNA from 1 species